rnacentral:rRNA from 1 species
GACGAACGCUGGCGGCGUGCCUAAUACAUGCAAGUCGAACGCUGAAGGAGGAGCUUGCUUCUCUGGAUGAGUUGCGAACGGGUGAGUAACGCGUAGGUAACCUGCCUGGUAGCGGGGGAUAACUAUUGGAAACGAUAGCUAAUACCGCAUAAUAGUAGAUGUUGCAUGGCAUUUGCUUAAAAGGUGCAAUUGCAUCACUACCAGAUGGACCUGCGUUGUAUUAGCUAGUUGGUGAGGUAACGGCUCACCAAGGCAACGAUACAUAGCCGACCUGAGAGGGUGAUCGGCCACACUGGGACUGAGACACGGCCCAGACUCCUACGGGAGGCAGCAGUAGGGAAUCUUCGGCAAUGGACGGAAGUCUGACCGAGCAACGCCGCGUGAGUGAAGAAGGUUGUCGGAUCGUAAAGCUCUGUUGUAAGAGAAGAACGAGUGUGAGAGUGGAAAGUUCACACUGUGACGGUAGCUUACCAGAAAGGGACGGCUAACUACGUG